UACGUAGGGUGCAAGCGUUAAUCGGAAUUACUGGGCGUAAAGCGUGCGCAGGCGGCUAUGCAAGUCAGAUGUGAAAUCCCCGGGCUCAACCUGGGAACUGCAUUUGUGACUGCAUGGCUGGAGUGCGGCAGAGGGGGAUGGAAUUCCGCGUGUAGCAGUGAAAUGCGUAGAUAUGCGGAGGAACACCGAUGGCGAAGGCAAUCCCCUGGGCCUGCACUGACGCUCAUGCACGAAAGCGUGGGGGGCAAACAGG
rnacentral:rRNA from 1 species